UACGAUUAAGUGUAGUUAGCAUACAAAGCUUUGUCUUUGGGGUCGGGAUUGAUAUCCCGGAUCGUAU